CAAUGCCUUUCUUAAUUGAAUGAAGUGAUAUACAUACUAAAUGGGAAAGCAAGACAUACUAGGACAAGCAAACUUGCAGCAUCCACAACGUCCUUACCGACCCUCCAUGCUGUUUUAACAGUUGUAGUGAUAUAAAAUGAUUGUCAAAAGACAGCAGCACACCACAGCCAGAUAAUUGAAUUUCCUCAUCCUGAAAACAAGGCCACACAACAUUAAAAAGAGCAGGAGUAGGCCAUGGAAAUAAAACAAGACAAACAUGAGUUGAGGAUGCAAGUGCAUAUCAUGGAUGGCACACUGAGCACAUAUACAAAGUCAGAAUUUCAUGAAGGAAGCAGACAGGGGGGAAAAUUAAGUGGUGAUACUACAUCCCGAAACAAACAACGCUCCAUCUGUGAUGGGAAACUAGAUACAUCCCGCAACUAGAUAAACGAACAAGAAAACAAACAGUAGCGCCAUCAUUAUGCAAGGAUGGACUGUAGCAGACUAACCAGACAUAGCCAUCACACAAUGGCCACGACAAGCUCAGAGCAACCAACGGAGGCAAGGAGGGGAGCUCAC
rnacentral:lncRNA from 1 species